rnacentral:rRNA from 1 species
GAGAUCGGGAUAACACCUGGAAACAGAUGCUAAUACCGGAUAACAACAGAUGAUGCCUAUCAACUGUUUAAAAGAUGGUUCUGCUAUCACUCUUGGAUGGACCUGCGGUGCAUUAGCUAGUUGGUAGGGUAACGGCCUACCAAGGCGAUGAUGCAUAGCCGAGUUGAGAGACUGAUCGGCCACAUUGGGACUGAGACACGGCCCAAACUCCUACGGGAGGCAGCAGGU